ACCAAUUGGCGGCCGGACUUGGACUUGGCUCAUCUUGAUCUCUCGCAAACUCCUCUCCGCUUCCUUCACCUCUCCCGCACUCUCACAUUUCGUAUGUUAAUUCAACACUCACUGAAGUCCCAAACUCACUGUCUGAUUCUACUUCUUUUCACUGGUUUCUUCUUAGAUUUUAGUGCUCUUUGCUCAUGUGGUGGUCAUCCAUUCUCUAUUUCUCUAGUUUAUUAGAGUUUCUGGUAUAAUUGAAAUCUAGGUACCCUUCAUUUUAGGAUUGAUGGCUUCGACAUCGUUGAAGAUUUCGGGUGGUUCACUUUUAAGGGUAUAUAUUUCAUUAAAAUUGUACCUUAAUCUAUGUAAAGAUCUCUUCUUUUAUGGAUUGGAAACAAAUUCAUGAAAUUUUGUAGCAGUUUAUAUGAAUCUUGGUGUAUGUAUGACUUGGGUGUUCAUUAUUUUAGGUCUUUAAGCCGUUGCUUUUUCACCUUAGAUAAGGUGUUUUUAGGUGUUUGGUGACUGGUCCAGCAAAUCAACAGAAAGAUAUGUAUGAUCGAGCUGUGGUUCCCAUUGUAAAUGAGGUAUUAGAAGGAUUUAAUCAACGUAGGCCUUGCUCAGCGAAUUCCAGGGAUGACGUGCCAGAAAAAGUUGAGGGAAAGAAGGUUAUUGCCUUGGACAUGGGUCUCCUUGUAGCUCGUACAAAGAAUCGUGGAGAGUUCGAAGAAUAAUUAAAGAAGUUAAUGGAAGUGAAGUGACGAGAUUAAUGCGUCUAUAGAUUAAGUACAUACAUUAUUGGAGCUAGUGCUGCUGAGGUGCAAUUGAUGCAGGAAAAUUUUUGAAACCAGCUUUUGGAAGAGGUGAACUGCAGGAUUCCCAAGUUGGACUCACAAUCACGACAUGAAUCUCACUUUUUGCAUGCAUUAGCGUCUCCCUGGAAAUCAUCUGAAAAGCCUAUGGCUGCAUAUGCAUAACUGGAAGUAUUUUAUCUUGUUACUACACCGGUCAUUUUCUCAGCAACCCUGAGGUAUUUUGCAGCCUGAUUCUUACAAGUUAGUUUAUUUACUUCGAGGGGCCUAGUCCCAAGAAAGGUAAUGAGUUCCUUCAUAUGGAAUAUUCGUAUGUGCUUUGUUUUAAGUAGCAAGCUUUUCAAUUAGGUGUAUUGACGUAUUAGGAAAAAUGCAUAGCAGCAGCUUUAAAAUUGUUUUCCAAUUUCAACUUAAUCUUCUGAAAAUGAAUGAUGGUGCAGUGUAUCGGUGCUAUAAACUAACUGAAAACAGAAAACAUAUUUGGAGGACCCCUCUUUAAAAGGAUAAAAAUAUCGCAAGCUCCUCUAUAGAUGAGGCUUUAUAAUGCCCCUAGUUUAUUCCAUUUCUGCAGAUUAGAGCGUACCUAGAGCACAGAUGUUAUAAAGAUUUGUGGAUUGAGCGCUUCAGUUCAGCAAAACUCGUGUUAAUCAUUUAUAGAAAUUGCUUUCCUCAUGCAAGGAUCAUAUCUAAGUCUACUGAAUCCUAUAACUUGGUGUCUAGCAUUUAUUUGAAUCAAUUUGGUAACUGGUGCAUCUUCUAGUUUCCUCGGUUAAGCAAAAGUUGAAACUCUUUUGUAUGUGACUGUUACGAAAUUCUUCUAAAUUUGCAAGAUGUUAUCCAGCAGUUUAUUUUUAUUUUUUAUUUAUUUAUUAAUUUUUUAUCCAGCAGUUAUUGUCUAUUAGAUUAUACAGAGAUUACUUAGCAAAAAAAAAAAAAAUUAUACAGAGAUUUUCUAAAACAAACACGGCAAGAUGGAAUGCGUAUUCUAGUGUUCCACACACUAGUUGACUUUAUAUUUUGCUAGGUAAUUUACCACAUCCUACUUCAAUGGAUUGAAAUACUGGUUAUUAGUGGGUAGACUAACAUCCAAGAUGACAUGCUUUUUCUAUUAAUUAUUGCUCACUUGGUUACAAGUAUGGUUUUCUACCAUCCAAAGUAGAAAUAUUAUUUUUUCUCAGCUCAACAGAUAAAAGUCAAGUUCUACUGUGUUGUCCUAACUGUACCAUAUAUUCUUAAUGCUCUAUGCCUAAAGCUGGACAUCUUAUAGAUUAUUCGCCCAGACCAGAAGAGUUGAUCAUAAUCUUCGGUGAGACACCUAAUACUGAAUGCUAUGUGUAUAUGUUCAGUUUGGAUUGAGUCAGUAUGGAGCUGAUCCACUUUUAGUCUUGUUGAACUAAUACCUUAUAACUUAUAAGUAAAUAAAGGAAUAUUGAAGUUUAUGUUUCUUAUAAACAUGCAAUAUUAUAUGUUAGCUCGAGAACUAUAGGAAGCAGCACCAGUGUGCAAAUUUGCCAUGGUGCUUUUGUAGCUGCAAAUAUUAACAGUCAAGGCAUGCUUGGAAGAACGGCUCUCGUGGUAUAAGGAUUGCACAGCAACUUCCUCACUUUCAGUUCCACCAUCUAUACCUAUCAAAGGACCCUAUCUUUAUACUUUCACAUAAUGAUUGUGGUUUUCUGAUUUUAAAUAAUGCGAAUUUUGUGAAACUUAUGGAAGUGUUUUCUUACGCUGAGAUUCGCUGGACUCAAUGGUGUUGCAGUUUUUAAGGUGUUGCAUGGCAAUAAAAGUUCUUUAGUGGUUCUAUUUGUUGAAAUAUCAGUCUCAUUGUCAGGAUUUACAAGUUAGUGUAAUGUAGAACAUGUGCACAAGAGUUGUUCAUAUGUAUAAUCUAUGUACAUUUAUUUAUGCAGGGUAGGCAUAGUGUAUAAUAAUCGUGAACAAUGUUUAUAUAUUUUCACCCUUUUAAGGGUAUAUUUGUAACUGUACAAAAAUCUAUCUAUAAAAGGGAGGGCUCACCUCUGAGUGUUACUUCCAUUCACUCUCUCUUGAUUUCCACAUGGUAUCAGAGCUCAAG